AAACGAGUUCCAGGAUCGACAGGUUGCGAAACACAACCAGAUGGGCCAAAGAUGGUAUCUGGAAAAAGGUCAGAUCAAGUUAUUGAAAAAGAGAAUCUUGAGGUUCGGUAUGCGUUUCUCCAC